UCAAGCCUGGUGGGAUAUAAGCCACAGUUUGUGAAACCCAUCUGACAAGACCAGAUUUCCUGGUCGUGCCCUGCCCCAUGUAAACCUUCUAACUUGCUCUGUACUUACCAGGUCAGGAUUCUUGCUCUGUACCCAACAGGGACAACUAAGGAGGUAAAGUAGGUGGCCCAGGAGACAACUAAAAUGAUCACACCCCCACGCCAAAGCGUCCCUAAAAGCUUGAUCAUCACAUGGACCUGCUGGGACACAGAGAGAGCCACCCAACCAGCCAUUAUCAGAGAAGCUUCCUCCUGCAACAGAUGAGAACAGAUGAGACCCACAGCCAGACACUACUCAGAGUGAGAGACCUUGGACCACUCAGUCCUAAACGGGAUGUCUCCACCAAAGCCCUCCCCUCAGAGCUCAAGAGAAUCCAUGGAAGAGGAGACAGACAGAAAGAGGGUACUCCUCCCAAGGCUCCAGAAUCACUAUGAAGAGAGGGUAGAAAGAAUAUAAGAGCCAGGACGACUACAAGAAGACAUCUUCUGAUCACAGAGCAAGCUAGCAGCUACACAGAGGAACACACAGUGACUGUUACAGCGUGCAAAAAUCCUCUGCAAGCCUGAACUAGAACAAAUGCCAGCACAGAGAGGGGUGUCGAGCGAGCACGAAACCUCACCACUACCUGUGCACCAGAUAGCAAGCGGUAGCUGCUGGUAAAGGGAGAGGUACGAGUUCUCUAAGAACGCAUUUCCUAAUAAGGUGACCAUGCUCCAAUGGAAUACCAUACACCCAAGAAUAUUUGGGUAGUACUCACUGGUCUUGAAGGGUUUAAAAAAAAAA